rnacentral:rRNA from 1 species
GACGAACGCUGGCGGCGUGCUUAACACAUGCAAGUCAGGGGGCGGGGCAACCCGCCACCGGCGAACGGGUGCGUAACACGUGAGCGACCUGCCUUCGAGUGGGGGAUAGCCGGCCCAACGGCCGGGUAAUACCGCAUACGUCACCGCGGGGGCGAUCCCCGGGGUGAGAAACCACUUGGGCUCGGAGAGGGGCUCGCGGCCUAUCAGCUAGUUGGCGAGGUAACGGCUCACCAAGGCGAUGACGGGUAGCUGGUCUGAGAGGAUGGCCAGCCACAUUGGGACUGAGAGACGGCCCAGACUCCUACGGGAGGCAGCAGUGGGGAAUCUUGCGCAAUGGCCGAAAGGCUGACGCAGCGACGCCGCGUGCGGGAUGACGGCC